UCACGCAAAGGACAUAAAAGCGGACUAAACUAUGUGGUCUGACCUUAUUCUUCAUUCUUCAAACAAUAUGGAGACAAAUUACCAGCUAUGUCCACGGCACACCACUAGCCGUCAACAACGAGCCUUGCAGCUCAUGAAACCCGAGUCUCGGAUUGAUUUGAGGACCAACAUCUGUAAUCGAAACCUCGUCAUCCACUGCGGCAGCGAUCAACCACAACGCAACUUCGAGCGGAAUUCUUCAUCUCCUCACCAGAAGAAAACAGCAGAGCAGGUAUAGGACGCCGGAGUUAGCUACACUAUCCUGCUAAGCCAAUUUCAAUCAACAAUUCACCGGUUUCGAAAUCCAGCUAUGUCCGUUGCACCCCAGGAGUAACCAACCAAAGACAUACGUCAUCAAAACACGUUUACGGAUCGAGUUGAGGACCAACAACAUUAUACGAAACCUCGCCAUCCCAAAUCGGACGACUCAAUUUGAACUUCCAAUACGGACAACAACCAAAUAAAAUUCCAACUCCAAGAAAACUCUCACUCACUAACAAAGACUCCUCGCAGUAACAUGUCCUGAAUCACAUUCAAAGAUUCACCGCCCAUUUAACGCAAUAGAAAUCCGCAAAUUCAAGCAAGCAUAAAAAAGUUCAAAAAAUAAGUGCCUCAUGAUAAUAUGAUUACUCGCUAAAUUGUUUAAUUGUUUGUUAAUGUUAAACUUAAAUAGAGGCAAAUAAUAGAUAUAGGCUUUAGACGUAAGAUGAUUUUCUCUGUAGUCGACACUAUAGAUUGAUAAUUAGCCUUGCAAAAACUCUGUCACUUGUAAGUAGUGAAGGCAAGCCGAUGUACUUGAGUAGCCUUAAGUUUCUUUUUGUGUAUCACUACAAUAACUGGCUUUGGAAUCCAAUUUUGGAAAAAUCUGCCGAAGCAAUAGAAGUUAAGAUUAGCCAGUAACCUCUAUUAGUCCUCAAACGUAAUCAUAGCUUACGAAAUUUUCGAGAACGCUUUUCUCGAAAAUUUCGUUUCGGUAAUUUAGAUGUUGUGUUACAAAUUGUUUGAAACGAAAUAUAAUAAAAUCACUGCAGCACGCAACACUGCCACAUCAUCAUGAAAAUCAUUAAGAUUGUUGCCGUCAGAGCAACUCUACACAUGCCAAAACUGCACGAAAACUCUCGCACUCUCAUGCUCUCGAAAAAGAGAAUCGAACAUUUACGACAACUAAGCUCACGAACUUGUACGUUGCUGAUCAUUCGUUUUCUGCUGGCUUAAAAAGUGGACGUACGGGAGGUGCAUGACUAGCGAAGCUAGUGCACAGAUUGAGUGUGGAAAAAUCAAAUCUCGGCUCAAAGAAAAAUCAUCAGGUGUCCAACGACUCCGAUUCGACCAUCAAUCGGAAAGACACGCUCAACCCGCAUGGAAAACGGUGAAACGACGCUCACCAGUAUUCCAAAAGAACCCGUCCACACGCACUCGUUGUAGUGCUAGCCAACACUUCGAUUUGCAACCGAACGACGUUCAUCUAAGGUAAUGGCAGCAUAUUUCCUCAUAUAGGACUUCUAACUAUAGCGUUUAAAUUCAGCCAGCAGAAACAAUUGCCGAAAUAACUUGGACA
rnacentral:lncRNA from 1 species